AACGAACGCUGGCGGCAUGCCCAACACAUGCAAGUCGAACGAGAUCUUCGGGUCUAGUGGCGCACGGGUGCGUAACGCGUGGGUAUCUGCCCUUUGGUUCGGAAUAACAGUUGGAAACGACUGCUACUACGGAUGAUGACGAAAGUCCAAAGAUUUAUCGCCAGAGGAUGAGCCCGCGUAGGAUUAGCUAGUUGGUGUGGUAAAGGCGCACCAAGACGACGAUCCUUAGCUGGUCUGAGAGGAUGAUCAGCCACACUGGGACUGAGACACGGCCCAGACUCUGACGGGAGGCAGCAGUGGGGAAUAUUGGACAAUGGGCGAAAGCCUGAUCCAGCAAUGCCGCGUGAGUGAAGAAGGCCUUAGGGUUGUAAAGCUCUUUUACCCGGGAUGAUAAUGACAGUACCGGGAGAAUAAGCUCCGGCUAACUCCGUGCCAGCCGCCGCCGUAA
rnacentral:rRNA from 1 species